rnacentral:lncRNA from 1 species
AUUGUUCACGGACUUGGGUUAGUAAAAACUUUAACUUGUUGGAAGAAAUAAAGAAGAACCCAUUAAUUGAACAAGAAGAAGAAGAAUGGGAAGCAGACAUGGCUCAUUAACCAACAAGGUUGGGAAGAAGAUUGGGAAGAUGAUUGCUUAACCUCCAACGUCACUAUAGCUUUCACAGAACAUAAAUAAAAACCCUAAUUUGAGAAUCCACCCUCUUUUCACCUCACUAAAGGGUAAUAACAAAAAUACUAUUUCAAAAAUCCUAAUUCCAACU